AGCAGUGAGGAAUAUUGGUCAAUGGGCGCGAGCCUGAACCAGCCAAGUCGCGUGAGGGAUGACGGUCCUACGGAUUGUAAACCUCUUUUGCCGGGGAGCAAGCGUGCGUUCGUGAACGCGCGUCGAGAGUACCCGGAGAAAAAGCAUCGGCUAACUCCGUGCCAGCAGCCGCGGUAAUACGGAGGAUGCGAGCGUUAUCCGGAUUUAUUGGGUUUAAAGGGUGCGUAGGCGGGAUGCCAAGUCAGCGGUAAAAAUGCGGUGCUCAACGCCGUCGAGCCGUUGAAACUGGCGUUCUUGAGUGGGCGAGAAGUAUGCGGAAUGCGUGGUGUAGCGGUGAAAUGCAUAGAUAUCACGCAGAACUCCGAUUGCGAAGGCAGCAUACCGGCGCCCUACUGACGCUGAGGCACGAAAGCGUGGGUAUCGAACAGGAUUAGAUACCCUGGUAGUCCACGCAGUAAACGAUGAAUGCUAACUGUCCGGCUCGAAUGAGCGCUGG
rnacentral:rRNA from 1 species